rnacentral:rRNA from 3 species
UAAAGCGAUUCAGCGGGUUACGAUUGACGGAGCGAAGCGACGUCAAAGCGUAUACAAAGUCGAGUCGGUUUAAGGAUACGUUCGUUGGGUAGGGGAGCGUUCUGUAAGCCCGUGAAGGUGGCCUGUGAGGGUUGCUGGAGGUAUCAGAAGUGCGAAUGCUGACAUAAGUAACGAUAAAGCGGGUGAAAAGCCCGCUCGCCGGAAGACCAAGGGUUCCUGUCCAACGUUAAUCGGGGCAGGGUGAGUCGACCCCUAAGGCGAGGCCGAAAGGCGUAGUCGAUGGGAAACGGGUUAAUAUUCCCGUACUUGGUGUUACUGCGAAGGGGGGACGGAGAAGGCUAUGUUGGCCGGGCGACGGUUGUCCCGGUUUAAGCGUGUAGGUGUGUGUUCCAGGUAAAUCCGGUUCACUUUAACACUGAGGCGUGAUGACGAGGCACUACGGUGCUGAAGCAACAAAUGCCCUGCUUCCAGGAAAAGCCUCUAAGCAUCAGGUAACAUCAAAUCGUACCCCAAACCGACACAGGUGGUCAGGUAGAGAAUACCAAGGCGCUUGAGAGAACUCGGGUGAAGGAACUAGGCAAAAUGGUGCCGUAACUUCGGGAGAAGGCACGCUGACACGUAGGUGAAGUGAUUUACUCACGGAGCUGAAGUCAGUCGAAGAUACCAGCUGGCUGCAACUGUUUAUUAAAAACACAGCACUGUGCAAACACGAAAGUGGACGUAUACGGUGUGACGCCUGCCCGGUGCCGGAAGGUUAAUUGAUGGGGUCAGCGCAAGCGAAGCUCCUGAUCGAAGCCCCGGUAAACGGCGGCCGUAACUAUAACGGUCCUAAGGUAGCGAAAUUCCUUGUCGGGUAAGUUCCGACCUGCACGAAUGGCGUAAUGAUGGCCAGGCUGUCUCCACCCGAGACUCAGUGAAAUUGAACUCGCUGUGAAGAUGCAGUGUACCCGCGGCAAGACGGAAAGACCCCGUGAACCUUUACUAUAGCUUGACACUGAACAUUGAGCCUUGAUGUGUAGGAUAGGUGGGAGGCUUUGAAGUGUGGACGCCAGUCUGCAUGGAGCCGACCUUGAAAUACCACCCUUUAAUGUUUGAUGUUCUAACGUGGACCCGUAAUCCGGGUUGCGGACAGUGUCUGGUGGGUAGUUUGACUGGGGCGGUCUCCUCCUAAAGAGUAACGGAGGAGCACGAAGGUUGGCUAAUCCUGGUCGGACAUCAGGAGGUUAGUGCAAUGGCAUAAGCCAGCUUGACUGCGAGCGUGACGGCGCGAGCAGGUGCGAAAGCAGGUCAUAGUGAUCCGGUGGUUCUGAAUGGAAGGGCCAUCGCUCAACGGAUAAAAGGUACUCCGGGGAUAACAGGCUGAUACCGCCCAAGAGUUCAUAUCGACGGCGGUGUUUGGCACCUCGAUGUCGGCUCAUCACAUCCUGGGGCUGAAGUAGGUCCCAAGGGUAUGGCUGUUCGCCAUUUAAAGUGGUACGCGAGCUGGGUUUAGAACGUCGUGAGACAGUUCGGUCCCUAUCUGCCGUGGGCGCUGGAGAACUGAGGGGGGCUGCUCCUAGUACGAGAGGACCGGAGUGGACGCAUCACUGGUGUUCGGGUUGUCAUGCCAAUGGCACUGCCCGGUAGCUAAAUGCGGAAGAGAUAAGUGCUGAAAGCAUCUAAGCACGAAACUUGCCCCGAGAUGAGUUCUCCCUGAGACUUAG